rnacentral:rRNA from 1 species
AUGCUCCUCCUCCGCCCCCCACGCCGCGCCGCUCCUCUCCUCCCCGCCGUCCACCGCGUCGCCAUGUCCUCCACCCCAGCCUCCCCCUCCGCGACGCCAUCCUCGUCACCGGCGGCAGAGUACCACUGCCGCACCAAGCACAGCCUGACGGCCGGCUACGCGCGCGGCCCGGGCCGCCUCGACUGGGCCAACCAGCCCAACCCCUUCCUCCGCUUCUCCCCUUCCCCCGCCACCCCUCUCCCCAACCCGCCAACCCCGGCGGCCGCCGUCCCCUACCCGGCCCUCUUCCACGCCCCGCCCCCGCCGCCGCGGCCGCUCUCGCUCGACUCCCUCUCCGACCUCCUCUUCCACUCGCUCGCCCUCUCAGCCUGGAAGUCCGCCGGCGGGUCCACCUGGUCCCUCCGCGUCAACCCCAGCAGCGGCAACCUCCACCCCACCGAGGCCCACGUCCUGUUCGAGGACCCGCGGGCGCCCGGCCGGCUCGUCCUCUCCCACUACGCGCCCCGCGACCACCUCCUCGAGGCCCGCGCCACCCUGCCCGCCGGGGACCGCUCGGCGCUCCUGCCGCCGCGGGCCACCGCCGUGCUCGCGCUCUCGUCCGUCUUCUGGCGGGAGGCCUGGAAGUACGGCGAGCGGGCGCUGCGGUACUGCAACCACGACGUGGGCCACGCGCUGGCCGCGGUCGCCUUGGCCGCGGCCACUCUCGGGUGGGAUGCGCGGUUGCUCGACGGCUUGUCCGAUCAGGACCUUGGGAGGCUAGUGGGGGUGGACAAAGGGUGCCCUGCCCCUGCUCCUCCGGACAAAAUCAAAAUGGUGAGUGGCAAGAAGGGACCGGCGCCAUGGGUGGAGAGGCAACACCCAGAUUGUGCUCUCCUGUUGUUCCCUGCGGGCUCAGAAGAGACGGAGGUGGACUAUGGGAGGAUGAGUGAUGCUCUGAGGGAAUUCGAUGAGUUGGAGUGGGUUGGCAAGGCGAAUGCGCUCAGCAAGGACCAUGUGGUGUGGGAUGUCAUUUACAAGACGGCAGAGGCAGUCAAGAAACACCAACCUAUGCCUGGGGAGCGCUUCUCGGUGAGCCCGUGGAACAUGAGCUCCAAAUUGUCUGAAGGGCUGUAUAAGGAUCUCACGGCACAGGAGGUGGUGCGGCGGCGGAGGAGUGCGGUUGACAUGGACGGGACGCACGUCAUGGGGAAGGAAGAAUUCUAUCAGAUACUGCUGCAUUGCUUGCCUUCAGGCGAGGUUAGCCCGGGGGAGCGACAGGGACCACAGAGCGCUCUACCAUUUCGCGUGUUGCCGUGGGAUGCAGAGGUGCACGCCGCACUGUUUGUGCACCGCGUCUCAGGGCUGCCCAAGGGGCUGUAUUUCUUGGUUAGGAACGAGGAGCAUUUCGAUACAUUGCGACAUGCUAUGAGACAGGACUUCGAGUGGGCUCGACCAGAUGGAUGCCCUGAUGGCCUCCCACUGUAUAGGCUUAUGAAAGGGGAUUGCCAGAGGUUGGCAAUGCAGAUAUCAUGUAUGCAGGAUAUUGCCUCACAUGGAUGUUUUAGCCUUGGGAUGAUUGCUCGAUUUGAACCUGUGCUGGAUGACAAAGGUGAAUGGAUGUAUCCUCGUUUAUUCUGGGAGACUGGUGUUCUUGGUCAAGUUCUCUACCUUGAGGCGCAUGCUGUAGGGAUAUCUGCCACGGGGAUUGGUUGCUACUUUGAUGAUGCUAUUCAUGAGGUUCUUGGUUUGAAAGACCUGGAGUUCCAAAGCUUGUACCAUUUUACGGUGGGUGCCCCUGUGGUUGACAGGCGGAUCAUGAGUCUCCCUGCGUACCCAGGGCCAGGGAUUGAUGCAUGA